GGAGAGAUGGCAGAGUGGCCGAAUGCACAUCCUUGCUAAGGAUGCGACUGGGUAACUGGUCCGAGGGUUCAAAUCCCUCUCUCUCCGCCA
rnacentral:tRNA from 1 species